GAGUUUAAUAAUGUAUUUUAUUUUGUUUUUAAUUUAUUAUAAUAAAAUAUUUAUUUAAUUGGGAAGAUUUAUAAAGUAAAAUAACUUUAUAACAAUAAUUAUUGAUUUUUUGAUUAUAUUUUAUAUAUUUUGGAAUUAACUACCUUAGGGAUAACAGCGUAAUACUUUUGGAUAGUCCGUAUAAAUAAAAGUGAUUGCGA
rnacentral:rRNA from 1 species